AGCAGUAGGGAAUCUUCCACAAUGGGCGAAAGCCUGAUGGAGCAACGCCGCGUGAGUGAAGAAGGUUUUUCGGAUCGUAAAGCUCUGUUGUUGGUGAAGAAGGAUAGAGGUAGUAACUGGCCCCUAUUUGACGGUAAUCAACCAGAAAGUCACGGCUAACUACGCGCCAGCAGCCGCGGUAAUACGUAGGUGGCAAGCGUUGUCCGGAUUUAUUGGGCGUAAAGCGAGCGCAGGCGGAAAGAUAAGUCUGAUGUGAAAGCCCCCGGCUUAACCGAGGAAUUGCAUCGGAAACUGUGUUUCUUGAGUGCAGAAGAGGAGAGUGGAACUCCAUGUGUAGCGGUGAAAU
rnacentral:rRNA from 1 species